UACGAGGGGGGCGAGCGUUGUCCGGAAUCACUGGGCGUAAAGGGCGCGUAGGCGGCCUGAUAAGUAGGGGGUGAAAUCCUGCGGCUUAACCGCAGGGCUGCCUUCUAAACUGUCAGGCUUGAGCACAGUAGAGGCAGGUGGAAUUCCCGGUGUAGCGGUGGAAUGCGUAGAGAUCGGGAAGAACAUCAGUGGCGAAGGCGGCCUGCUGGGCUGUUGCUGACGCUGAGGCGCGACAGCGUGGGGAGCAAACAGG
rnacentral:rRNA from 1 species